rnacentral:rRNA from 1 species
GUUUGAUCCUGGCUCAGAAUCAACGCUGGGCGGGCGUGCCUCAGACAUGCAAGUCGAACGAUUAAGACUUCCUUCGGGAAGUGCAUAAAAGUGGCGCACGGGUGAGUAACACGUAAGUAAUCUACCCUCGAGUGGGGAAUAACAGUCGGAAACGACUGCUAAUACCGCAUAAUGCAGCGGCACCGCAAGGUGACAGUUGUUAAAGGAGCAAUCCGCUUGAGGAGGAGCUUGCGGCAGAUUAGCUUGUUGGUAAGGUAACGGCUUACCAAGGCUACGAUCUGUAUCCGGUCUAAGAGGACGGUCGGACACACUGACACUGUAUAACGGGUCAGACUCCUACGGGAGGCAGCAGUCGGGAAUUUUGGGCAAUGGGCGAAAGCCUGACCCAGCAACGCCGCGUGAAGGAUGAAGUAUUUCGGUAUGUAAACUUCGAAAGAAUAGGAAGAAUAAAUGACGGUACUAUUUAUAAGCUCCGGCUAACUACGUGCCAGCAGCCGCGGUAAUACGUAGGGAGCAAGCGUUGUUCGGAUUUACUGGGCGUAAAGGGCGCGUAGGCGGCGCGGUAAGUCACUUGUGAAAUCUCUGAGCUUAACUCAGAACGGCCAAGUGAUACUGCAGUGCUAGAGUGCAGAAAGGGCAAUCAGAAUUCUUGGUGUAGCGGUGAAAUGCGUAGAUAUCAAGAGGAAUACCUGAGGCGAAGGCGGGUUGCUAGGCUGACACUGACGCUGAGGCGCGAAAGCUAGGGGAGCAAACGGGAUUAGAUACCCCGGUAGUCCUAGCCCUAAACGAUGAAUACUUGGUGUCUGGAAUUAUUAAUGUUCCGGGUGCCGUCGCUAACGUUUUAAGUAUUCCGCCUGGGGAGUACGCUCGCAAGAGUGAAACUCAAAGGAAUUGACGG